CAUAUGUUUUUAAACUAUUCCCAAAAAAGAAAACACCUUUAAGAUAAUCUGUAUGCCAGACAUAAAUCAUAGUUUUGUAGAAUCCCUGACAGGAUCAUCCCUUGUUUCUGAGACGCAAAUCCUUGCUCGGCGGUCCAAGAUCUUCCCUGAAUCUCUAUUUCGACCCAUUUCAACCAACUGCUGUUCGAGAACCCACGUACAGCACGCAAUCAACUGUAGCUCAAUGGCCACGCAACAGUCGGGCCAAAGAAUACAAAAAAAAAUCACUUUUAUGGCAAAGAUCAAACUGGCAGAAAAACAACAGAAACGACCAAGACGACGACGAAAAAUACGUUACCAAGGUAGGCUGGCCGAUGUUGCUGCUUUUGCUGCUGCUGCUGCUCCAAAGAAAUGGCCGUUAAAGUUGCCAGGCAAAUGGCCAAAAGUCAGGGGCGUAGCUCGAUCCAGAGUGUGCCCCAGUGUUCCAGAACACAAAACGAAGGUGUAGAGCCCCCCUUUUAAAAAAGGGGCUACGUGAGCGGUUCCCUUGGCACGUUUUUCAGUUUUUUUCUCGUUGUUUAAUUUUAUUUUUUUUCUCUUGAUUUUGUUUUAUUUUUUUUGUUUUUGGCGUGGCCGACGACGACGCCCGUUUGCCAUCAUAAAAGAAGUCAAUUGAAUUUAAAUUUAAAGUACAUAAUGGCCAAGUGAAGGAGGCAAGAUCAGUGGAGCCGGGCGGGACUGUGGGGGGCUAAGCGAGUGGUGAAGGCAACGCUGCCGCCUUUCGAAUUUCACAAAGUCAUCCGUGUGGUUUUUGUUGUUGCCAUGGCUUUUUGCUGUUGGGGCCUCCGACUCUUUGUUGCUGUUGUGUGGGAUUGAAGUCUAUGUAUAAAGAUAUAUACACAUUUUCAUGUACAAGACCCAGGCACAGGCACAGACCCAGUCCCUGGCACAGACACAGGCGCUGGCACGCAAGGCUUUUGGCUUUUAAGCCAAAGAUAUAUCCAUGUGUAUUGGUGUUCGUUGCUCUUUUGAUUUAAACGUGCUUAAAUUUAAAGAUCAAAUUGCCUGAGUUUCGUUGUAGUUUUAUUUAUUUUUUUUUUUUUUUGGGGAAUUUAUUUAUUUUUGAGGUGGUAGUCGAGGCGGUGGGGUUCGGUAGGCCCAGGAAUUUUAAAUUGUAGACAAGCAAAACCGCAAUAAUCGGCCAAAAUUUGUAUAGACAUAAGCAAAUUUUGUGAGUCAGAGAUUGAAAUGUCGCUUACUGCCUUCUUUUUUGCUUUUUUGUUUUUUUUUUCUGUUGUUUUUGCUUGUUGGCGGAUAUGGUUAGUAAUUUAUUUAGAAAGCCAGAUUCGAGUGCCCCCACAGACUACAGACUCAGGGGCUGACACACAUAUUUCAGAUUUAUUCACAUUUCGCCCACCGUUCGGAUAAUUUCGCUAGAAAAGAUGAUUAAGUGAUUAGUGGCUUUUUUGCAGCUGACUUGCUUCGAGCAUAACGAAAGACUUAGGCAACGAACUUGCCGGUAACCUAUUGACAUUAUGACGCGCCAAAAGAAAAGCCAGUCCCUCUCUCUAGCCCUAUUGCCCCUUUUUGGCUCUUUGGUUUGGGUUUUUGUACAAAUUUGCAUUGUUUGCCAGCCUUGCCACCCCCCGCUCCGCUCCGCGCCCCCUGCCAGCCAAGUAUCCCCAUUUUGUCUGCCCGCCAAGCAAACGUGAGAUGAGCCGGGCUUUGCCUCCGCCGCUGGGAACGUGCAGAGAAAAUAUUUGCCUUUUUUGUGCACACAGUUAUGGAUAUAUAAAUAUGUCAAACGUUUUGUUUGCCUUUCUGCCGCUGCCAUUGUGGGAAAGUGUGAGGUUCUGGGCCCGUAGCUCUCUAACAGAAUUUUGGCAGAGAUUUUAUCAGCGGGCUGGUAAUUAAUUGUUGGAAUCAUAUUUUUCACAGACAUUUUCUUACAUCAUACACACUUUUAUGUAAAAUAAAAUAAAAUAAAUAAAAUAUACAAGAGAAAAUAAUUUGAUUUAUGGUUUUGAUUUAAUAAAAAUAUAAUUAAUAUUCUGUUAUUAUUUUAAUCAAAAUAUAUACCAUCUUUUAUUUAUACACCAUUUUGAUGUUUAGUUCCUUAAAAGCUUAAACCAGCUCCGUCGCAUAGAAUCCAUUCACUUCGUUUUCUAUCGAUUUCCAGAUCAUUUAACAAUGCAAAGGCCCGGCUUUUGGCCAUUGUCCAAGAUCUCCGUAUGGUUAAUAAGCAUAUAUAUAUUUCCAACGGAAACCAGUUGGGGCCUCAUGCCGGGGUGGGUCUAUUUACCCCCUGUCUAAAGCCCAGAUUGGCUUCAGUCCUAUUCAGCCGGAGCCAGAACUAAUAAAACUCAUUAAACCAAACAUGUUUGGGCCUAAACAAAGGCCUCUGUCUAUAACCAAUUUGAAUAAUCUCCAACACAGCGCUAUGACAGAAGAGUGGUGGAAGCCAGAAAGUCAAUAAUCUGAUUUUGUGGGGCGAAUGAGAACGAGUAAAUGUCGAGAGUCCAAAUCCGAAUCCGAAUCAGAGUCCCAAAAGAAAGCGACAGAUAGCGAUGGGGAUGGCGACGGUGACGGUGAUGGUGACGGUGACGGUGGAGGCGAUGGAGUAACCCACCAAACCAGCCAUUGCCUGAGAGAAUCAAAAUGAUAACUUUUCAGUUCGGAGCGAAACUGUACCCCCCUGUUCGGCAUCGGAUCGGAUCGGAUCGGUGCUAUAAUGAUCAUGGAUGAUGCUGCGUGUGGAAGUGGAAGAUGAAGAGCCGAGCAAAGCGUACGGGCCAAAAACAGAACACAAAAGGUGGCUAGCUGUCGGGCUAACUGGCUGACGGGGCUGACUGGAACCCGAACCUCCACCACCGACCGGCAAAUGGCCAAGAUCGAUACAAUUUUCGAGCAACAUUUCGGGUUUUCGGGCAUUAAAAAGUCAGAGAGAACAGUAACAAUGCCAAGUCACAGAUACACAGAUACAUGGAUACAGAUACCUUCUGGCCACUUGACAAAAGGGGUGUUGUGGAGGGGGCACAGUGUCGGCGGUUGCGAGGGGCGAAAGACAAAGUUGUACCUUUUUGGUUAUACGAGGGGAGACAAAAGAAGUGGAAUGAGAACAAGAUCAUUGCAUUUUUGCUGGCUGCUGUCGUUGCUUUUUUUUCUCAUUUUUAGUGCUGCUGCCUCAAAGCCAGUUUCGCCCCAGCUUGGUAACAAGUUUGACUGAAAAUUCUAAAAAUAAUACCGGCCGGUUUGUCGUUUCAAAAAAUAAAAAAAAAAAAAUAUAAAGAACUGAAUAAAAAAAUAAAAGGAGAAAAGAAAGAGUGGGCCCAACACUGGAAAUGAUGUUGCAUCUGUGGGUGUGCAGGUAUGCGUGUGUGUGAGUCUGCAAGAAAUGAAAAAAUAACCAAAAUGAGAAACAUUUCAAGGGAAGGGUCUAAGGAUGCCGGCCGAGGCACAGGGCCAAGUGCCAAGUCACUCGUUUCGGCUUACAGGCAGCUGCAAUUGGUCCAGGGAUGGGCGCAAAUCACAGAGUUGAAAAGAAGAAAAGUCUGUGUCUGCAACCCUGAUGCUGUCCAAUGUUGCAUCUUGUGGACCUUCAGACCCAGCACCAAUCUCCAGCCGAAUCCCGAUCCGGUCCGGUCCGGGACCCUGGCUUCAUGACGCUGCUAAAUGUGUCUUGAAUAUAUAGCUUGGUGCCCAGCAUGGGGGGCAGGGCAGCCAAGUCCAUGUGUCCAUGGUGUUUUACCCUCAUCUCUCUUUAACGUUUGUUUGCAACAAGUAACGCGCAUCUGUAUCUGUAUCCGUGUAUCUCCGGCCGGCUAAGUGUUUGCCCAGCCAAAGAGUUGGCUUACCUGUACUGGUUGUGCUACCUGCGCACAGGUAGGCGUAUGCAUGUAUCUGUAUCUGUGCUCUGUCCAUAUCCUUCGCCUUUUACCAUGGAUGCAACCUCCAACCACCGCCAACGGUCAGCAGCAUCAACAGCAUCAGCAGCAGCAAGCCAUCAUUAUAUACAUAUAUGUAUUCUUAAAUAUAUAGAAAAAUAAAGAGCCCAUAUAUACAUAGGAACACGGGUUACUUUUUUAUACGAGAUUGUGUCUCCUGGUAUGACUUGGCAACUUGCUUUUGGACUAGGCGUCGGACUCUUCUGCCUUUGCUUAAUGGUUUUAGGAAAUCGAAAAUUAAAUAAUUUAUCUCGAUUUUAUGACGUUACAAGCAGGUUUUUAUACCCCCAUCUUCUCUAGCCUCCCUAGCAGCCAGCACGCGAUAAAUCUUCGGCUUACAAUCAGAAGAAAUGCUGCAAGAACAAAAAGAAUCACAUAUGCAUGUACAAUGAGAUGCUUUUAAGUCUAUCCCUCACCACCACCCCAGUAAUUUGAAUAGCCGCCGUUCUAAUGCCAUAAAAAAAGAGAUGCUGCUCCUGGCCCCUGACCCUUCCCU